rnacentral:rRNA from 1 species
AUUGAACGCUGGCGGCAGGCCUAACACAUGCAAGUCGAGCGGGGUUUUCGGACCUAGCGGCGGACGGGUGAGUAAUGCGUAGGAAGCUACCCGAUAGAGGGGGAUACCAGUUGGAAACGACUGUUAAUACCGCAUAAUGUCUACGGACCAAAGUGUGGGACCUUCGGGCCACAUGCUAUCGGAUGCGCCUACGUGGGAUUAGCUAGUUGGUGGGGUAAUGGCUCACCAAGGGGACGAUCCCUAGCUGGUUUGAGAGGAUGAUCAGCCACACUGGAACUGAGACACGGUCCAGACUCCUACGGGAGGCAGCAGUGGGGAAUAUUGGACAAUGGGCGCAAGCCUGAUCCAGCCAUGCCGCGUGUGUGAAGAAGGCCUUCGGGUUGUAAAGCACUUUCAGUAGGGAGGAAGAGUUGAGUGUUAAUAGUACUCAGCUUUGACGUUACCUACAGAAGGAGCACCGGCUAACUCUGUGCCAGCAGCCGCCGUAACAC